UAUUGCACAAUGGGGGAAACCCUGAUGCAGCGACGCCGCGUGAGUGAAGAAGUAUUUCGGUAUGUAAAGCUCUAUCAGCAGGGAAGAUAAUGACGGUACCUGACUAAGAAGCCCCGGCUACGUACGUGCCAGCAAGCGCGGGAAUACGUAGGGGGCAAGCGUUAUCCGGAAUUACUGGGUGUAAAGGGAGCGUAGACGGUGAUGUAAGUCUGGAGUGAAAGGCGGGGGCCCAACCCCCGGACUGCUCUGGAAACUAUGUGACUGGAGUGCAGGAGAGGUGAGCGGAAUUCCUAGUGUAGCGGUGAAAUGCGUAGAUAUUAGGAGGAACACCAGUGGCGAAGGCGGCUCACUGGACUGUGACUGACGUUGAGGCUCGAAAGCGUGGGGAGCAAACAGG
rnacentral:rRNA from 1 species